rnacentral:rRNA from 1 species
UAAGACAUGCAAGUCGAACGGACUUAACCAUUAGUUUACUAUUGGAGCGGUUAGUGGCGGACUGGUUGAGUAACACGUAAGCAACCUGCCUAUCAGAGGGGAACAACAGUUAGAAAUGACUGCUAAUACCGCAUAUGCCUAAGUACCACAUGGUACAAUAGGGAAAGGAGUAAUCCGCUGAUAGAUGGGCUUGCGUCUGAUUAGAUAGUUGGUGGGGUAAUGGCCUACCAAGUCGACGAUCAGUAGCCGGACUGAGAGGUUGAACGGCCACAUUGGGACUGAGACACGGCCCAGACUCCUACGGGAGGCAGCAGUGGGGAAUUUUGGACAAUGGGGGCAACCCUGAUCCAGCCAUGCCGCGUGCAGGAUGAAGGCCUUCGGGUUGUAAACUGCUUUUGUCAGGGACGAAAAGGAUCGUGAUAAUACCAUGGUCUGCUGACGGUACCUGAAGAAUAAGCACCGGCUAACUACGUG